rnacentral:rRNA from 1 species
UGAGCAAUCUGCCCUUCUCAUCGGAAUAAGCGUUGGAAACGACGUCUAAUGCCGAAUACGACCUCCUUUCGCAUGAUCGGAGGUGGAAAGCUCCGGCGGAGAAGGAUGAGCUCGCGGCCUAUCAGCUAGUUGGUGAGGUAACGGCUCACCAAGGCGACGACGGGUAGCUGGUCUGAGAGGAUGGCCAGCCACAUUGGGACUGAGACACGGCCCAGGNUCCGUACGGGG